rnacentral:rRNA from 1 species
UACGUAGGGUGCAAGCGUUAAUCGGAAUUACUGGGCGUAAAGCGCGCGUAGGCGGCUUUGCAAGUCGGGUGUGAAAUCCCCAGGCUUAACCUGGGAACUGCGUCGGAUACUGGAUGGCUUGAAUUCGGGAGAGGGAUGCAGAAUUCCAGGUGUAGCGUUGAAAUGCGUAGAUAUCUGGAGGAAUACCGGUGGCGAAGGCGGCAUCCUGGACCGACAUUGACGCUGAUGAGCGAAAGCUAGGGGAGCGAACGGG